rnacentral:sRNA from 1 species
AGCAGCCGCGGUAAUUCCAGCUCCAAUAGCGUAUAUUAAAGUUGUUGUGGUUAAAAAGCUCGUAGUUGAACCUUGGGCCUGGCUGGCCGGUCCGCCUCACCGCGUGUACUGGUCCGGCCGGGCCUUUCCCUCUGUGGAACCCCAUGCCCUUCACUGGGUGUGGCGGGGAAACAGGACUUUUACUGUGAAAAAAUUAGAGUGCUCCAGGCAGGCCUAUGCUCGAAUACAUUAGCAUGGAAUAAUAGAAUAGGACGUGUGGUUCUAUUUUGUUGGUUUCUAGGACCGCCGUAAUGAUUAAUAGGGACAGUCGGGGGCAUCAGUAUUCAAUUGUCAGAGGUGAAAUUCUUGGAUUUAUUGAAGACUAACUACUGCGAAAGCAUUUGCCAAGGAUGUUUUCAUUAAUCAGGAACGAAAGUUAGGGGAUCGAAGACGAUCAGAUACCGUCGUAGUCUUAACCAUAAACUAUGCCGACUAGGGAUCGGACGGUGUUAUUUUUUGACCCGUUCGGCACCUUACGGGA